GAUGAACGCUGGCGGCGUGCCUAAUACAUGCAAGUCGAGCGAACAGAUAAUGAGCUUGCUCCUUUGACGUUAGCGGCGGACGGGUGAGUAACACGUGGAUAACCUACUUAUAAGUCUGGGAUAACUUCGGGAAACCGGAGCUAAUACCGGAUAACAUAUUGAACCGCAGGGUGCAAUAGUGAAAGGCGGCUUUGCUGUCACUAAUAGAUGGUUCCGCGCCGUAUUAGCUAGUUGGUAAGGUAACGGCUUACCAAGGCAACGAUCCGUAGCCGACCUGAGAGGGUGAUCGGCCACACUGGAACUGAGACACGGUCCAGACUCCUACGGGAGGCAGCAGUAGGGAAUAUUGGGCAAUGGGCGAAAGCCUGACCGAGCCAUGCCGCGUGAGUGAAGAAGGUCUUCGGAUCGUAAAACUCUGUUAUCGGGGAAGAAAAAAUGUAGAAGUAACUGUGGACAUCUUGACGGUACCUGAUCAGAAAGCCACGGCUAACUACGUG
rnacentral:rRNA from 1 species